rnacentral:rRNA from 1 species
CUUUCGGGAUUAGUGGCGGACGGGUGAGUAACGCGUAGGGAUCUAUCCAUGGGUGGGGGGACGAAACUCCGGGAAACUGGAGCUAAUACCGCAUGAUACCUGAGGGUCAAAGGCGCAAGUCGCCUGUGGAGGAACCUGCGUUCGAUUAGCUAGUUGGUGGGGUAAAGGCCUACCAAGGCGAUGAUCGAUAGCUGGUUUGAGAGGAUGAUCAGCCACACUGGGACUGAGACACGGCCCAG